rnacentral:rRNA from 1 species
CCUACGGGUGGCAGCAGUGAGGAAUAUUGGUCAAUGGCCGGAAGGCUGAACCAGCCAUGCCGCGUGAAGGUCAGUGCCCUAUGGGCGUUAAACUUCUUUUGUGCGGGAGCAAUAAUGGUCACGUGUGGCCAGACGAGAGUACCGUACGAAUAAGCAUCGGCUAACUCCGUGCCAGCAGCCGCGGUAAUACGGGGGGUGCAAGCGUUAUCCGGGUUUAUUGGGUUUAAAGGGUGCGUAGGCUGUGAGGUAAGUCAGCGGUGAAAUGCCCCCGGUCAACGGGGUGGAGUGCCAUUGAUACUGCCGUGCUGGAAUGCUGAUGCCGUGGGAGGAAUGUGUGGUGUAGCGGUGAAAUGCAUAGAUAUCACACAGAACACCGAUUGCGAAGGCAGCUUACGAAUCCGCGAUUGACGCUGAUGCACGAAAGCGUGGGUAUCAAACAGGAUUAGAUACCCGUGUAGUC